rnacentral:rRNA from 1 species
AUUGAACGCUGGCGGCAUGCUUUACACAUGCAAGUCGGACGGCAGCACAGAGAAGCUUGCUUCUUGUGUGGCGAGUGGCGAACGGGUGAGUAAUAUAUAGGAACGUACCGAGUUAUGGGGGAUAACUAAUCGAAAGAUUAGCUAAUACCUCAUAUUCUCUGAGGAGGAAAGCAGGGGACCUUCGGGCCUUGCGUUAUUCGAGCGGCCGGUGUCGGAUUAGCUUGUUGGUGGGGUAAGGGUCUACCAAGGGGACGAUCAGUCGCGGGUGUGAGAGGAUGAUUGGCCGCCCGAGAGCUGGAACGCGGCCCAGACUCCUAAGGGAGGCAGCAGUGGGGAAUGUUGGACAAUGGGCGCAAGCCUGAUCCAGCCAUGCCGCGUGUCUGAAGAAGGCCUUCGGGUUGUAAAGAACUUUUGUGAGGGAAGAAAAGGCUGUUGCUAAUACCGACAGCUGAUGACGGUACCUGAAGAAUAAGCACCGGCUAACUACGUG